UACAGAGGGGGCAAGCGUUGUUCGGAAUUACUGGGCGUAAAGGGCGCGUAGGCGGCCUUCUAAGUCGAACGUGAAAUCCCCGGGCUCAACCCGGGAACUGCGUCCGAUACUGGAAGGCUUGAAUCCGGGAGAGGGAUGUGGAAUUCCUAGUGUAGAGGUGAAAUUCGUAGAUAUUAGGAAGAACACCAGUGGCGAAGGCGGCUCACUGGUCCGGUACUGACGCUGAGGUGCGAAAGCGUGGGGAGCAAACAGG
rnacentral:rRNA from 1 species